ensembl:lncRNA
GGAUGCUUAAGGAAACCAAAAACCAUGAAGGAUGUUUCCCUUGCACCACUUGUCAUUCAUUUUAAAAACAAUGCAUCCUGUUGUCCCUUUGUCCCUCAUUGUUUGAGGCCCCUAACAUUUGCAGACUUAACAUAUAUUGUAUUACCUUCAGCCAGGCAAACGAACACAAAUUCUCCCUCCUGGGCCUGCUAUGACAAACCAAAGGAAAAAGCUAACUCCAUUUGCCAGCAGGGCAAAAUACUGCCACUGGAAUUAGAAGCAGUAGCUACGGCUGCGUCAGUCUCCAAGAGCUGUCCAUGUGCAAGAUGAGAUAAAGGGGGAAACAGUACCCCAGAGUUGCACUGAGACAGCAAGCUGCCAUCCAGACCACAGUGCUUUAUCUGAAUAGAACACACUGGAGAGGGUCAUCUUGCAUCAGACUCACAGGCAGUUAGGAGGACUGGAGCUCCAGCCUGCCUGAUUUAAACCAGCAUAAACUCCUACUUUCUCAAGGACAUAUGACCUGAUCUCUGGACAGGAAUCCCCAAGAAAUUAGUCGGUGGGAGCAUUUGGGAAAUGCCCAGAGAUGCAUGUGUAGAAUCAAUGAAGAAAUGGAGACACCCCUAGCACAAAUACCAACGUCCACAAGCAAAUGUCUAUACCCUCCUUUCAAGCAUAUCUCCAUCCUUCUCCUUCCCAUGUGGGCCUUCAGUGAACUGCUCACAUCAGCUCAGCACAUUUCUUCACUACUUGUGUUUGUAGUCGCUGUUCAUCCAUGGCAAAUAAGCUCCAGAGACACAAUCCUAAUGGAUGGGCAGACCAACAAGAGGACAUGUGACAUCUACAUGAAGAACUUCUUGCACCAUGGGAUGGUAAAGAACAGGCUAUGUUUUGAAAGCAGACCUCUGACACAGGGUCUUGCGUUUCGUCUUGCUGUCACACUGUGUUACCACACCACAUCACACUGUGUGACAUAACCGACAAACCCUGUUGUAACCUGUAUGUGUCAUGGGAAGGCAGCCUGCUGCCUGAUUCUUGUAAGAGUGCUUCAGGAAAAAGGCAAUCCUACUAAUUCCCCACAGCCAGAACUGUAGCAGGAGCAAAGCUGAACAGAGCUGCUUGCUCUCUUCCUACCUAUCUAUAAUCAGCUUCAGGCAGUCAGCACUUGUCACCCUGAACAUUUCAGAAAUUCUAGAGUACAUGGUGAUAUAAAGCCACUGAAAUGGAGUAAUGUCCCAUGAAGAAAGAGGCUGUCUGUUGAAACCUACUUUUUCACAUUCAAGUAGGAGGUGGUGUGAUAGGGCACACCACAGCAGGGUCCUGACAGCAUACGUCAGUGAGGACAAAUGAACUUUUCAGUGCUGGUCCAAGGUAUUUCAGUUUUGUAUCUAGCCCUCUCUGUGCCCUGCUGUCUUCAUGGUGGUGAUACCAGUUUGGAAGUGAUACCAAGGAACUACUCAGAAUAUGAGAACUUCAACUUUUUCUUUUGUUGCGUUCCCCAGGAAUUACCGCUCGCAACAAUUUGUGGAUGUCCCCCUCAGAUUAUUUUAACUAAGAGCUUUCCUGAUUUAUUUUGUCUCCAGGGGAUUUCUAACUUAUGUGAACUAUGACUGGUGAUAAUGAAAUAUAUUGUCAUGCCACAAAUUCAAUACAUUAAAAUAA